UCCGGCCUGCCGGGCUCCGGCCUGCCGGGCUCCGGCCUGCCGGGCCGGGGCUCUGCCGGGUCGGGCCGCUCCGGCUUGCCGGGCUGGGGC
rnacentral:tRNA from 1 species